UACGUAGGGUGCAAGCGUUGUCCGGAAUUAUUGGGCGUAAAGAGCUCGUAGGCGGCUUGUCGCGUCGGCUGUGAAAACCUGGGGCUCAACCCCGGGCCUGCAGCCGAUACGGGCAAGCUAGAAUUCGGUAGGGGAGACUGGAAUUCCUGGUGUAGCGGUGAAAUGCGCAGAUAUCAGGAGGAACACCUGUGGCGAAAGCGGCUCACUGGACCAUAACUGACGCUGAGACGCGAAAGCGUGGGGAGCGAACAGG
rnacentral:rRNA from 1 species